UACAGAGGGGGCUAGCGUUGUUCGGAAUUACUGGGCGUAAAGGGCGCGUAGGCGGCCCGCUAAGUCGAACGUGAAAUCCCCGGGCUCAACCCGGGAACUGCGUCCGAUACUGGCAGGCUUGAAUCCGGGAGAGGGAUGUGGAAUUCCAGGUGUAGCGGUGAAAUGCGUAGAUAUCUGGAGGAACACCGGUGGCGAAGGCGGCAUCCUGGACCGGUAUUGACGCUGAGGCGCGAAAGCUAGGGGAGCAAACGGG
rnacentral:rRNA from 1 species